ACGGAAGGCAGCAGUGGGGAAUAUUGGACAAUGGGGGAAACCCCGAUCCAGCGACGCCGCGUGAGUGAAGAAGUAUUUCGGUAUGUAAAGCUCUAUCAGCAAGGAAGAAAAUGACGGUACUUGACUAAGAAGCUCCGGCUAAAUACGUGCCAGCAGCCGCGGUAAUACGUAUGGAGCAAGCGUUAUCCGGAUUUACUGGGUGUAAAGGGAGCGUAGACGGCAAAGCAAGUCUGAAGUGAAAUCCCGGGGCUCAACCCCGGAACUGCUUUGGAAACUGUUUAGCUAGAGUGCAGGAGAGGUAAGCGGAAUUCCUAGUGUAGCGGUGAAAUGCGUAGAUAUUAGGAGGAACACCAGUGGCGAAGGCGGCUUACUGGACUGUAACUGACGUUGAGGCUCGAAAGCGUGGGGAGCAAACAGGAUUAGAUACCCUGGUA
rnacentral:rRNA from 1 species